rnacentral:rRNA from 1 species
CAGCAGUCGCCGCGGUAAUACAGAGGGUGCGAGCGUUAAUCGGAUUUACUGGGCGUAAAGCGUGCGUAGGCGGCUAAUUGAGUCGGAUGUGAAAUCCCCGAGCUUAACUUGGGAAUUGCAUUCGAUACUGGUUAGCUAGAGUGUGGGAGAGGAUGGUAGAAUUCCAGGUGUAGCGGUGAAAUGCGUAGAGAUCUGGAGGAAUACCGAUGGCGAAGGCAGCCAUCUGGCCUAACACUGACGCUGAGGUACGAAAGCAUGGGGAGCAAACAGGAUUAGAUACCCGUGUAGUCCCUGUCUCUUAUAC